CGAUAGAACAUUAUGCCUGGAAUGGUUUAUGUUUCAAAUAAUUUAUUGCCGUAGGAUGGGACUGCGGCCUAUCAGUUUGUUGGUGAGGUAAUGGCCCACCAAGACUAUUACAGGUACGGGCUCUGAGAGGAGUAGCCCGGAGAUGGGUACUGAGACACGGACCCAGGCCCUAUGGGGCGCAGCAGGCGAGAAAACUUUGCAAUGUGCGAAAGCACGACAAGGUUAAUCCGAGUGGUUUCUGCUAAAGGAACCUUUAGUCAGUCCUAGAAACACUGAUGAAUAAGGGGUGGGCAAGUUCUGGUGUCAGCCGCCGCGGUAAAACCAGCACCUCAAGUGGUCAGGAUGAUUAUUGGGCCUAAAGCAUCCGUAGCCUGCUUUGUAAGUUUUCGGUUAAAUCCAUACGCUCAACGUAUGGGCUGCCGGGAAUACUGCAAAGCUAGGGAGUGGGAGAGGUAGACGGUACUCGGUAGGAAGGGGUAAAAUCCUUUGAUCUAUUGAUGACCACCUGUGGCGAAGGCGGUCUACCAGAACACGUCCGACGGUGAGGGAUGAAAGCUGGGGGAGCAAACCGGAUUAGAUACCCGGGUAGUCCCAGCUGUAAACUAUGCAAACUCAGUGAUGCAUUGGCUUGAUGCCAAUGCAGUGCUGCAGGGAAGCCGUUAAGUUUGCC
rnacentral:rRNA from 1 species